CUAUUGAGCGGGCUGUGUCCGUGUGGCUGGUGGGACCUCAGGCAAAGCAGAUGACAAAAAUAUCUUACAGGAGGUGUUUUCUUAACGGAGACCAUGCAUCCAACACGGAAACUCCAGCCUGGUUUUCCACAGGUGCUCCGGGGGCGGGGGGCGCUGGUUCUCAUCUCCACAGCCUCUGGCUGUGCCCGUAUUGUGUCCGUAUCUGCCCCGUCUAUCUGGCCAGUGGGCUUGAGCUGAAGUAGGACAUCACUGAGUGAUGAGAAAACAUUUCAAAGACAUGAUUAGUCGAGGCACCCUGCAGGUGUCUGAAAAGUCCCGGUGGGAUCUGCAGGGCCCAGCUUAAAAGAGCUGGCACAGAGGGGACGUUGCUGAGCUACUGACCUUGACCUGCAAUAUGCAACAGCUGCAGCCUCUUGCUUCUGAAUGCACAAUUAACAGUUCAUUCCUGAGCACUUUCCUAUAGGGACUGAGAACCAAAUAAUCCCCCGAUGUAAGCCAUUUGACAUCCAAGUGCUUACACAACGCAACUGACAAAGAUUGUAUGUUGAAAUCAUUGCCAAGCAAUGUCUUUUUUUUUUUUUUCUUAGAGCGAGCGCACAAGCAGGGGAGAGGGGCAGAGAGAGAAUCCCAAGCAUGUUGUGUGGCACAGCACCUGAUUUGGGACUUGAUCCCGCGGCCCUGGGAUCAUGAUCUGAGCCAAAAUCAAGAGUCAGAUGCUCCACCGACUGAGCCACCCAGGCAUCCUAGCGACAUCUUUUUCUUUUUUUUUUUUAAAUACUCUAACGAACUCCCCUCCCCGCCCCGCCCCCGUCCCCAGACUCCUCUGUCCUGUCUCACGAAGCAACUCCAUAUACUUGGGAAUUUCCAGCAACUUGGAAGUGGGAAUUGCACGUCCUGACAGGUGGCAGUGACUGGAGCAGACACCCCAAGCCGGGUCCUUCUUGGGGAUCUUGUCCGAGCCCUCCCGAGAUGGAUUAGCCAGUGAGACUUUUGGCACCCACUUGAUUGCACCCUUUUCAGGCGAAGUGAGGGAUGGAGAAGUCUGCACGAUGAUGCUCCGCGACCUUCAGGACGCACGGUCAGAGCACGAACAGGAAGACACUGCACAACGCUCCGGAGGAUUGUGGUGUCGCUUGGAGAACGUCUGUGUGCGACCCCGAUGUCAAAGCAUCCUGCCAGACCAAGAGUGCCUGAGGAAUGUUACACAGAUCCCACCUCGGGGUGGAAGGGUGUCAUGACCCGUCAACCUGCCUUAUGCUCCUACCCCGUCAUCACAACGGUGAGAUCAUGACCUGAGCUGAAAUCAAGAGUCACCUGCUUAAACGACUGAGCCACCCAGGUGCCCCAAAGCAGCUAAUUUUAGGGAACACUAAUGUUAACCUACCUUUUGGAUAAGUAGGAAGUUACGACUUGAAGCCGGGCACCUGGGCUAAGCUCCCAGAGAAACCGGCACACUGGCCACCGGCCACCUCAGUGUUCGUGUUUCAAAGAGGUGGCUCCAAGGCCCCCAAGAGAGACAUUCCUGAGAAGCAAAACUGCUCUUCCGGCCUUCCGAGGUCUUUUUACAGACGCCUCCCUGUCAUGGAACAAAAGUUUAUUAACACACAAGUAAUGAGCGUCAGCUCAAUUAAUUUUCGUAAAGUGAACAUAUCCGUGGAACCACCAGCUAGAGCAAGAAAGAAGAUGUUAAUUACACUCCCGAAGCCCCUCACGUGACAUCAUCUGGUCACCAUCUGCCGAACUUCCCAAAGAAAAACUUCCUAACUUCUCAUGCCGUAGUCUCCAGCCUAAGAAUCCUAUAUGCAAGAAAUCCUAGAAGUUGUAGGCUUGUCUGGCUUCUUUUGCUCAACUUCCUGUGAGAGAGAUUCAUCUGUCUUUCCUUGUGGGUUAGUAGUUUGUUCAUUUAAAUUUUUUUCAAUGUUUAUUCAUGUAUUUUGAGAGAGAGAGAGAGAGAGAGAGAGCGCGCAUAUGCUCAAGUGAACUUGAGCCGGUGGGGGGUGGGCAGGACAGAGAGAGAGGGAGAGAAAGAAUCCCAAGCAGGCUAUACAAGCAGCCCAGGAACCCUGCGAUCUGAGAUGAAAUCAAGAGUUGGAUGCUCAACCCACUGAACCACCAUAAACAUUUUUUCUUUUUUUUUUUUUUUAAUUUAAAAAAAAUCUUUAUUUUUGAGAGACAGAGAGAGACAGAGUGUGAGCAGGGGAGGAACAGAGAGAGAGGUAAACACAGCAUCUGAAGCAGGCUCCAGGCUCCGAGCUGUCAGCACGGAGCCUGACACGGGGCUCGAACUCACAGACCACGAGAUCAUGACAUGAGCCGAAGUUGGACGUUUAACCGACUGAGCCACCCAGGCACCCCUUAACUUUGUUUCUUUUUAACAGACUUUACUUUUGAAGAGAGUUUUAGAUUUUCAGAAAAAUUGAGAAGAUAGAACACAGAGUUCCCAUAUACCUCCCAUUCAGCUUCCCCUGCUAUUAGCCUUUUGCAUUUGUUUUUGUGUAUUUGUAUUUUGUGUCUUUGUAUUUGUGUUGGUAUUUUGUGUUUUUGUGUAUUUGUUUGGUGCAUUUGCUGCAAUUAAUGAACCCAUACUGAUACACCAUUAACGUAAAUUCACAAUUUAUUUUGAUUUUCUUAGUCUUCACCAAAUGUUCUUUUUUUUUUUUUUUUUUUGUUCUCGGGUCCCACAUUGCAUUUAGUUGUCACAUGGCUUUAAGCCCUAGGCCCUUCAUGGCUGUGGGAGCUUCUCAGACAUUCCCUCUUGGGAUGCCCCUGAGAGUUUUGAGAAGGACUAGUCAGGUGCUCUGUGGGGUGCCCACCCACCCACUACUGGGAUUUGUCUGAUGUUUCUCUUGUGAUAUGAUGGGGAGGAAGACCACAGAGGUCAAGCGCUAUUUUCACCACAUCGUGGCAAGCGUACGUCCUGGUCAACAUGAUUUACGACUGUUGGUGGCCCCGUUCACCCGGCUGAGGCUGCGUUUGUCAUGUGUCUCCAGUGGAAAGUUAGUUUUUCUCCCUCCCUUUCUAUACUGUGCAGUUUGGGAGGAAGUCACUCACAGGAUGGGGAGUUUGACUCCCUCUCCUCGGAGGCACCGUAACUACAUGAAUUCUUUGGAAUCCUUCUGCGUGGGAGAUUGGUGUCUUCCUCAUUUAUCAAUUCAGUCCUUUAUUUACAUCAGUAUGGCCUUGUGGAUAUUUACUUGAUGAUUUUGCAGCUCAGAAGUUCAGCUUUGACCAUCGCGAACCCUCUCAGUUGGCUCCUGUGGUCUUUUGACCCCCCUUGAUGUUCUGUUUUGAGCAUUUCCUUACCUUCCGGGAAUACCAGGUCCUCCAGGCUCGGCUCAUACAUUUCCUGCCCCAGUUCUAGAAACAGCCAUUUCUCCAAAGAGCCCUGUUCCUUUGCCAGAGAAUAAUAUUAGGGUCUGGGUGCUGAGGUGUGCUUACUGUUACCCGGAUGUCCUCUCUUGUGGAGCCCUCCGAGGACAGAGCAGAAAGUAUGCAUGUUUAGACUACGCUCUGUACAUGUGCUGACCUACAAACACUCGCAUAAGUAACCAUCUCUACCUGUAUUAAGCUAACCAUGAGUUCAUACUGGCAUCGCCAACUCAAAUCCAUUACCACCUGGAUAAUUCUGGCUUUCCUCCCCUUGCUGAUCUAUGAACUCCAAGCCCAAUUCUGAGAAACCCACGUGUUGAUUUUAAAAAACCGGUUUCGGAACUUUCUCGAUCCCCCGUGUCUCCGAAUAUCGCCUCUGCUCCAUUCACUUGCUUCUGUAUUUCUAGGACUGCAGCUGCACUCUGUUGAUCCUUUUUCUUGCUCCUUGUUUUUUGUAUUUCCCAUAAUUUUUUCCUCUUGUGCGUCACUCUAUGUGUUUUCAACUGACUUUUCUAAUUCGUUAAUCUUUUCUUUGGCUGUGCCUAAUCUGCUAGUAAAUCCAGCCACUGAUGUGAUCCUUUUUAUAGACUCUAGCUUUCUUCUGAAUUUCUGUUUACUCGUGAAUUAACUUUGGAAAUUUAUGGGGUUUUUUCUCAAAAAAAAAAAAAAAGUAUAUUUCAUCCAAAUCUUCAAAUUGUAUUUCUUGAGGGGCUUUUCAUUUGGUCUGGCUAUUCUAUUUUCCUGUCUUCUUUUUUUUAAAUUUAUGUUCUUAGUUGAAAAUUUAAUUUAUUCUGUUUCCUUUAGUUUAUCUUACAGUUCUUUUGCUUUUUGGGUUAAAUUUGUUUACUAUCAUUGUUUCUUUUUAAAAAUGUAUUUAAUGCUAUAAAUUUACCUCUAAGAACCACUUUUGAACCCAGAGGAUUUCAUAUGUAAUAUUUCCUAUGUCCUUUGAGAUCUUUUUAUUUUUACAAUGUUUUCUGCUUUAACCAAUGUGUUAAGUAAACAUGAAUUAAUUUUUAGUUUCCAGAUAUAUAAAUGUUCAUUGACUGUAUAUUUAUCAUUAAUUUAUAGCUUUGAAAAAUUUUUUUAAACGUUUAUUCAUCUUUGAGAGACAGAGAGAGACAGAGCAUGAGCGGGGAAGGGGCAGAGACAGGAAGACACAGAAUCCGAAGCAGGCUCCAGGCUCCAAGCCAUCAGCACAGAGCCCGAUGCAGGGCUUGAACUCACAAACUGCAAGAUCAUGACCUGAGCCGAAGUCGGACACUGAACCGACUGAGCCACCCAGGCGCCGCAAUUUAUACCUUUUUUAAAAUCAAAAGUAAGGUGUAUUUUUCAAACCCUAUGUAUAAUCGUGCAUUAUUGAUCUCCCCCAUGAAUAUUAGGCAUGUACAUACAUCUAUUAAUGUUACAGAAGACAUACCAUGUAUAAUUGUGCAUUAUUAACGUGCACUUUUAGUAAAUGUGAAUUCUCUUUAUCUUUGAAAUUCUUAAAAUCUGUUUAUUUUGCUUUAUUCCUGAAUGGUAGUUAAUCUGGUUGUAGUAUUCUAAGCCCAAGUAAUUCAGUGGAGGAAGGUCAGUCUUUUCAACAAAUCUUACUG